CACUCUAUCUCCCCAAAACAGACGCCCCACUCCCUUCUCCAUUUUCAAAAAACUUCCAAGCUCUUAUAUCUUUCAAGCAGAGGAAUGACACACCAUUUUUGUGUCAAAGGUCUCUCUACUCUCAUUACGUAUCUAAAUAUUCCAAAGGAUAUUCUUUUACCUCUUUCUUGUUUGUGCUUGACAACUUCGAAAUCAAAUUGAGGCAGACCACAGCCUCGCCAAUUCGGGUAAAGACUGGAACAAAUCACGCCUUUUUGACCAAAUCACGUGAUGUCUGCAAAGUCCGUCCAAGAAAGAUCAACGAUCAAAUUUAAAACGUUCAUUUUGAAUGAAAAAUCAAAAAUCAAGAAUCCCGCCCAACUAACCCUAGAGAGCCCUAAUUCAUCUCCUAUAAAUACCAAACUUUGUGGAGAUUUUCAGCAACUUUUGAUCCCACAUUCUCUGAUUUCUUACUCAUUGGAGCCACGCUUUAAGGGCUCGUUUUGGUCACCCCCUACUGGUCUCGUUUAACCGAACUAGAGGCGGCGGCAUAAUCAUUUUUGAAUUUGAUGAUUGUUCGAGGUUGCGGAGUAGAGGCCGAAGAUAGUAGACCUUGACGCGACCCCAGUUCCUGCACCGCAAAAGGAAAUCAUGAAUCAAGUUGUUUACCCAAAGAUUGGCAUGGUGUUGGACAUCCCUCCCAAACUAAAGGCAUGGUGGAGAAACUUAGGAGAGAAUGCACAGUCCAAAGUACGAAAGAAGUUGGGUCACCUACCGUUACUUAUGGAAGUCACAGCAUGUAAGGAAGUAAUUGAAGCAUCAGUCACCUUCUGGGAUGAAGAAAGAGCCGUAUUCAAAUUUGGGGAAAAUGAGAUGACACCAUUUUUAGAAGAAAUUUGAGGCUUCAUAGAGAAUGUGAGUUUGUUAUGGAAAGGCAGACAUUCUUGGCAAAGCGCUGACAUGAUUAUUCCAAAAAAUUUCUCGAUAAAAGAGUUCCUUGAAAAGUUUGGUUUUGAGAAAGAAAUGGGGCUAAAGCAUUUGAAAGAAUCCAAGAUACCCCUGACUGUCUGUUCGACAUUUUUGGAUGUUCAGAUGCUUUUAUACGACAUCUAGAGGUGUUCUCCUCACAUGCUUCUUGGAGUGAAAAGAGGGUAUUCGCCUUUUCGGUUUGUAUCCUCGGCUCCUAGUAUUUCCCCGAGGAGCAAAACAGGAGAUUCACACCCGACUUGUCAUGGUUGCUGAUGAAUUAUUUAAUGGCAUUGAUGGAAAGCCAUACAACAUAGUGUCGAUGGUUGUUGUAGAUAUAUACCGAGCUUUGGGCCUUUACAAGAAGGGAUUUAAACAUUUUGAGGGAUGUAAUUUGUUGCUACAGUUGUAGUUUAUGGGGCCAUCUUCGAAAGAUCAGUGGAAGCCAAGAGCUUUACAAGAAAAACGGUGCUAAUCAUAUCACUUCAUACACGAUCCCAGUGGUUGCAUUCAUAAGAGGGAUUAAUAUGGGAGGCCGAAUCAAAGAUAAGGCAACAGAAGCUGAAAUCAAGUACCGUUGGUUGAAAAGAAGGGUGUCCGAGUCUGAAGCAAAGCACAAGGAGCAGCAUGAGAAGGACACCAAAGAGAUUGAAAUGUUGACACAACAAGAAGAAAUAUAGAAGCAACAAAUAGAAAUAUGGAAACAACAAGCUAUGGAAAUGGAGCAAGGACUCAAAUAUUUGGAUGGAGACCUCGAGAAGUAGAUCAUAGAAUGCUAUUGCCAAGGACUCGAUGAAGGAGGAAAGUUAGCCAUGGUUUACCUUGUGAAGAAUCGCCAGAAAAUCGACAAGGCAAUAAGAGCAGCGAAGAGGCUAAGGGGCAAUGAAGAACCAUCCUUAGUCAAUUAGAUUAGAACUAUGUUGUAAUCUUUAUUUCAAUUAUGGCUAAGCCAUUGUAAUCGUUUUAGACUAAGACAAUGUUAGUAUUUCUCUUUUCAUUUA